rnacentral:rRNA from 1 species
AGCUUAAAGAAUAUAUUUUAAGUAAAUUCUGCCCAGCGUAAACUUAUUAGCGGCCGCAGUACCUUGACUGUGCUAAGGUAGCAUAAUCAAUUGGCUUUUAAUUGAAGUCUGGAAUGAAAGGUCAAAUAAAGAAUUAACUGUCUCUAUUUAAUUUUUUUGAAUUUAUUUAUUAAGUGAAAAUACUUAAGUACAGAAAAAAGACGAGAAGACCCUUAGAAUUUUAAUUAAUAUGUACGUUGUUUACAAUUUAUUUUUGUUGGGGCGACAAUGAAACAAUUAAACUUUCAAUUUUUUUCAAGACAUUUUUUUUGUAAGAUUAAAUUACCUUAGGGAUAACAGCAUAAUGAAUUAUUUAGCUUGUGACCUCGAUGUUGGACUAGGAACUAAAAGACUAACCGUCACAAUAGACUGUUCUGUUCGAACAAAAAUUUCCU